AUUGAACGCUGGCGGCAUGCCUUACACAUGCAAGUCGAACGGCAGCACGGGAGCAAUCCUGGUGGCGAGUGGCGAACGGGUGAGUAAUAUAUCGGAACGUGCCCAGUCGUGGGGAUAACGUAGCGAAAGCUACGCUAAUACCGCAUACGAUCUAUGGAUGAAAGCGGGGGAUCGCAAGACCUCGCGCGAUUGGAGCGGCCGAUAUCAGAUUAGGUAGUUGGUGAGGUAAAGGCUCACCAAGCCGACGAUCUGUAACUGGUCUGAGAGGACGACCAGCCACACUGGGACUGAGACACGGCCCAGACUCCUACGGGAGGCAGCAGUGGGGAAUUUUGGACAAUGGGCGCAAGCCUGAUCCAGCAAUGCCGCGUGCAGGAUGAAGGCC
rnacentral:rRNA from 1 species